rnacentral:tRNA from 1 species
UGCGGCUCUGGUGCAGGAAUGCGCGCGUUCGGGUCCACGCUUCGGAAGUAGCUUUGCGCCUUUCCAGGGUUCGUGCGUACGGCUUGCACUGCGGCUAC